rnacentral:rRNA from 1 species
AGAGUGAACGCUGGCGGUAGGCCUAACACAUGCAAGUCGAACGGCAGCACAGUGGUAGCAAUACCAUGGGUGGCGAGUGGCGGACGGGUGAGGAAUACAUCGGAAUCUACCUUUUCGUGGGGGAUAACGUAGGGAAACUUACGCUAAUACCGCAUACGCCCUUCGGGGGAAAGCCGGGGAUCGCAAGACCUGGCGCGGAUAGAUGAGCCGAUGUCGGAUUAGCUAGUUGGUGAGGUAAUGGCUCACCAAGGCGACGAUCCGUAGCUGGUCUGAGAGGAUGAUCAGCCACACUGGAACUGAGACACGGUCCAGACUCCUACGGGAGGCAGCAGUGGGGAAUAUUGGACAAUGGGCGCAAGCCUGAUCCAGCCAUACCGCGUGGGUGAAGAAGGCCUUCGGUUGUAAAGCCCUUUGUUGGAAAGAAAAGCAAUCGGUUAAUACCCGGUUGUUCUGACGGUACCCAAAGAAUAAGACACCGCUAACUCGUGCCAGCAGCCGA